GACGAACGCUGGCGGCGUGCCUAAUACAUGCAAGUUGAGCGAUGAAGAUUGGUGCUUGCCCCAAUUUGAAGAGCAGCGAACGGGUGAGUAACGCGUGGGGAAUCUGCCUUUGAGCGGGGGACAACAUUUGGAAACGAAUGCUAAUACCGCAUAAUAACUUUAAACAUAAGUUUUAAGUUUGAAAGAUGCAAUUGCAUCACUCAAAGAUGAUCCCGCGUUGUAUUAGCUAGUUGGUGAGGUAAAGGCUCACCAAGGCGAUGAUACAUAGCCGACCUGAGAGGGUGAUCGGCCACAUUGGGACUGAGACACGGCCCAAACUCCUACGGGAGGCAGCAGUAGGGAAUCUUCGGCAAUGGACGAAAGUCUGACCGAGCAACGCCGCGUGAGUGAAGAAGGUUUUCGGAUCGUAAAACUCUGUUGGUAGAGAAGAACGUUGGUGAGAGUGGAAAGCUCAUCAAGUGACGGUAACUACCCAGAAAGGGACGGCUAACUACGU
rnacentral:rRNA from 1 species